UACGGAGGAUGCAAGCGUUAUCCGGAAUUAUUGGGCGUAAAGGGUCUGUAGGUGGCGAUUCAAGUCUACGGUUAAAGCCUGGAGCUUAACUCCAGAACAGCCGUGGAAACUGAAUGGCUUGAGAGCAGUAGAGGUAGCGGGAAUUCCCAGAGUAGCGGUGAAAUGCGUAGAGAUUGGGAAGAACACCAGCGGCGAAAGCGCGCUACUGGGCUGACUCUGACACUGAGGGACGAAAGCUAGGGGAGCGAAACGG
rnacentral:rRNA from 1 species